GUGGGUUGGCUCAGUGGUUAGAGCUUAGGUCUCGUAACCGAAAGGUCGCAGGAGCGAAUCCAGCUAGAGGCUAUA
rnacentral:tRNA from 1 species